rnacentral:tRNA from 2 species
GCAGGUAGCUCUGUGGCAGAGCCCAUACCUGAUGUGUAUGAGGCCCUGGGCUCCAUCCCCAGCUCUGCA